rnacentral:rRNA from 1 species
UACGUAGGGGGCGAGCGUUGUCCGAAGUUACUGGGCGUAAAGCGCACGUAGGCGGAUGUGCCAGUCAGGGGUGAAAUCCCGGAGCUCAACUUCGGAACUGCCUCUGAUACAGCACGUCUUGAGUCCGGAAGAGGUGGGUGGAAUUCCUAGUGUAGAGGUGAAAUUCGUAGAUAUUAGGAAGAACACCGGUGGCGAAGGCGGCCCACUGGUCCGGUACUGACGCUGAGGUGCGAAAGCGUGGGGAGCAAACAGG